UACGUAGGGUGCGAGCGUUAAUCGGAUUUACUGGGCGUAAAGCGUGCACAGGCGGCCCGUUAAGACAGGUGUGAAAUCCCUGGGCUCAACCUAGGAAUUGCGCUUGUGACUGGCGGGCUCGAGUACGGUAGAGGGGGGUGGAAUUCCUGGUGUAGCAGUGAAAUGCGUAGAGAUCAGGAGGAACACCGAUGGCGAAGGCAGCCCCCUGGGCCUGUACUGACGCUCAUGCACGAAAGCGUGGGGAGCAAACAGG
rnacentral:rRNA from 1 species